UGACCCAUAGGUUGAGGAGGCGGUGACCAUGGUGGUGUAGGUGGAAGCGGGGUUAAAGGAGGAGGAGGUAGCCAACACUGUUUUUUAGGUAUAUAUUUUUUUUAAUUGGGGUAGCCCCCAAAAUAUUGCUACAUAUAAAAAAAGACAACUCUGUUCCGCAGAGUAGCUGUUGACAUUAUAGUUGCGCAGGCACUUUGUUGACUCUAGAGAACCUCGGGCCAAUCGCACAUCCCCGUGAUGGCGACUUUGCAUUUGGAUGUCAUCCAUAUCAACUUUCGAUGCCAGUUUCUGUGCCUACCAUGGUGACCACGGGUAAUGGGGAGUCAGGGUUCCAUUCUGUACAGGGACCCUGAGAAAUGGCUACCACAUGCAAGGAAGGCAGCAGGCGCGCAAAUGACCCACUUCCGAUGCGGGAAGGUAGUGACGAAAAAUAACAAUACAGGACUCUUUAGAGGCCCUGUAAUUGUAAUGAGUCCACUUGAAAUCCUUUAACUUUGAUCAAUUGGAGGGAAGUCUGGUACAGAGCCACUGACCCAUGCAUGCUGCAGCUGAAACUCCACU